AAUAGCAGGGGUAAGAACCUGAAGGGUUGUGAGUAUCGGAUAUGUUUGACCCGCGUGGCAAUCCAAUGAAAGCCAGGCUGAGAGGAUCAAAAGCGCUUUUGAGAAAAGCUAGAAUAUGGAUGAAAGCUUAUCGAAGAGAAAACUUCGAGCGGCAACGAUGAAGGUUACACGUCCUGGUUUCGACAUUGCUCGUGCCUUAACCUCAUCCUCACCGUGACUUCGGAACCAUUACCAUGACGGUGCGCUUCCACUCGGAUCAACUUCUUCGAUGUUUCCUUCGGUGUUUUUCCGGCCGAUCUUCAAACUCCAUGCCAUGAUCUCCGCUUGGUGCACAAUUAAUCGAGUAUGGUGGAGUCUAUUCCGGUGUCAAGAGAAACAAAUCUACGCGUGAAAAUUCGAUUGCAAACGGGAAAAGAUCGAAGAAAAACGAGACGGAAUCAGACACAACCGUGGAUUUCUCGCUCUCCUUUCAACAUUCAACCGACAUCCUCUCCGUCGUAGAAGGGGCUUCGAUGCGGUGGUUGCAGCAAUGUUACCGACUUCACCGGGGCUUGCGUUGCAGAUUCCAGCAUGAAUAAGCUUGUGGUGAAAAAUUAAGAAUCUUUAUGUAGAAGGAGGGAUUCGAUGCAGAAGUGGAGAAGGUGAUUUGGAAGAGUGAAGCUUGAAGAAUUUGAUACAGAAAAAAUGGAGAGAGUGGUUGCAGAAAAUGAUCGAAGAAAGUGAAGAUUUAAGAUUUAUUUAUAGCAUUCCAAAAUCGGAACUCUUGUGUAAAAUGAUGGUCUGAAUUUUGGAACAUUGAGUUUGAAAAGUUUGUGAGUCGUUGCUUGCGUUUGGAAUUGGAUUGUGGACUAGUUUGAAGAGUGGAGUUUGGCUUGAAUAACUUUGGACUUGGAGUCUUUGUAAAUUUGUGAAUUGAACAUAUGCAUUAUAGCUUGUAAAUUGUAACCAUGCAUUGUAAUUAAAACGGAAAUUGAUUAAAUGUUGAAAAUUCUUGGAUAUUGAAUGAGUAUUAUAGGAUAAAAUUAAUUAUGUAUUGAUUAAAAUAUA